rnacentral:ncRNA from 1 species
GAAAAAGCGUGGAGAAGGAGAAGUACACAAAAGAAAAGGGUUUAGUAGAGAGGACUAUCACCGGCUGAAAGUAGUCUAAACCCGCUUUGUGGAAAUGCACCUUUGAGCACUUUGCCGAACAGAAGUAGGCAGGUCGAGUUGUUCCCGUUACCGGACAGGAAAGUGGAAGGGAAACCUUCAAUUCAGAGUGGAACCGCGCUAUAUAAGCGUCUCUGUC